AAAAAACAAACAAAAAA
rnacentral:sRNA from 1 species